GGAAGCCGGCCAGGGAAGCCUGGAGCGUGGGUUGCGCCCUUCUCUGGCCGCCAGGUUCUCGCAGUCCUCGGGAUAAUUGAGCCGGUUUCAAAACUAUAUGAUUUGGACACGUCUUUAAGCUUUUCUGAAUUUGCAAUCAUGAACAUCAAUGAUUUUGUGAUACUCCCUGGUUCAAAAACUGGAGUUUCCGUAAAACUGAAGAAAAAAAGUGUACGGGAGCUGCAUUUGGAAAAGAUUCAGCUGGAACUUGAAAAUAAUGAAAUGGAGAAGAAACUGAAGCAACUACAAUCA